rnacentral:rRNA from 1 species
GGGAGGCAGCAGUGGGGAAUAUUGCACAAGUGGGCGCAAGCCUGAUGCAGCCAUGCCGCGUGUAUGAAGAAGGCCUUCGGGUUGUAAGUACUUUCAGCAGUGAGGAAGGUGGAUAUGUUAAUAGCAUAUUCAUUUGACGUUAGCUGCAGAAGAAGCACCGGCUAACUCCGUGCCAGCAGCCGCGGUAAUACGGAGGGUGCGAGCGUUAAUCGGAAUUACUGGGCGUAAAGCGCAUGCAGGUGGUUUGUUAAGUCAGAUGUGAAAGCCCGGGGCUCAACCUCGGAAUUGCAUUUGAAACUGGCAAACUAGAGUACUGUAGAGGGGGUAGAAUUUCAGGUGUAGCGGUGAAAUGCGUAGAGAUCUGAAGGAAUACCGGUGGCGAAGGCGGCCCCCUGGACAGAUACUGACACUCAGAUGCGAAAGCGUGGGGAGCAAACAGGAUUAGAUACCCUGGUAG